ensembl:lncRNA
GCCAAACUAUUUUAUCUCUUGCCAUUUUUCCCCUAAAGAAAAAACAUCAGGAUUUUUCCCCUCUGCAUUUUUACAGAAAACCCUUGGGUAGUUUAGAAUGUAAACAAGCCCCAUGAACUUGUAUUAAAUGAUUAAAGGUUAGGAGAAAGGAGGACGUUUUCCAAACCCUUUCAUUUUGCAGAAGUUUAACCUAAAACAAAGCAUCAUCGACCAUCAUUCAUCUUUCAGCUUCCAUCCGGAAUAUGGAGACGUUGAAUAUUGACAUUUCAGGUUUCAAAUGAAUCAAAAAGCUCGAAAACUGUGGACCUGUGUUUAAAGGAAAAGAUUCUGGCAGCAGCUGAAGAUUAAAUUCAUAGAAGUUUGAACAGUUCUGGAUGCUCAUCAAAAGAGUGCUCUUUAAAUCAUUUCAUCCAUGAUAAAAAAGUCCAAUUAAAAUAACAGGACAAGAAGGCUGUGUCUGCUGCAUGCUGUGGAUUGUGAUGAGAUUUUGAGCAAACAAACUCUACUCCAAUACAGGAAUGACCACCAAACCCAAAAAAGGAGACACAACAACCAUUGUGGCUUUAGGUUUCAUUUGCACAUGGGAAUGUUAGGUCGCAAAUGUCAUUUAACUGCAGAUUUGAUUAUUAAGACAAUAACAGCAGUAUUAGAGGAGACACGUGGAGGGUUGAGCUGAUUAAUGGAGUUGACUACCCCUCUGUGACCUUAAAGUUGCCCGACCAUUCUAAUUCCAGUAAAAAUAUCCAUCCAGUAAAAAGAUGCCAGAUUCUCUCCUGCUGAGUUCUGCUGAGUUGAACUCCUAAGAGUUCGCAGAUCCUACUGCAGGUUCUCCAGAACUUCUUCCAGGAAGUUUUUCUCCUCUAUAAGAACAUUUCCUCAGAAUAUGCUCACAGUUUUCAGGAUCUUGGUACUCUCUCAGCCCAUCUAAACUGAAAGCAUCCAUCGUUAACUCCCACAAAAAGAGUUCCACUGCUUACUUACACUUUCUGUAAAAAACUAGUUGUCACCUGCUGUUUUAAUUUUCUUACCCCACAGAAAGAGAGGAUGAAAGGCUGUUGUUUUUAGGAUGGCCAUUUGAACUUUUGAAUUUCCAACAAGAUGCAAGUGAAUGUUCUAAGAAGUCUGCAGAAUUGUCUUAAAGCUCCCUUUGCAUUGAUGCCAAAAGUGAGAGGUAAUGACCUCAAGUUGCACGAGAG